UAAAUUGUUACUGUCGUGACAUACACGAUUUUUAGUUGUACUAAGUGCAGUAUUGUUUUCAGUGCAAUUAUUUCUGAGAAGCAAAACGCCAGUUUCAGUAUCUGCAAUUUGUCGAAAACCACGUGAUGUGUUAUCAUGUUUAUCAUCGCGCAAUUCGUCCACACUCCGUUUCUGUUCCAGAAUCCACUGUAAAACAAAUGUAUAUAUACACUAAUAAAAAACGCAAUAUUGCAUUGUUUGUAUAUCUGUGAAUACACGUUUUAUUCUAACCUAAAAUACUGUCCAUCGGCAUGCAAAUAUGACAUACAUAUUCAGAACGAUAUAACCAGAGACAUAUAUACACAGAGAUUGGCAACUGUAACAGUGGUCAGCGAAAUCCAAUUAAAAACACGCAUCACACGAGACUUUAACGAGAUCGCCAUUUUGCAUCUGAUCAUGACAAGUUCACCACCGCUUCGAUUUUUAUUUUGCAUCAAGCUUUUCAAAACAGCAUAAUGAUCCUGCAUGUUAUAAAAGAACAAAGAUGUUGAUCAAAUUUACCUAACAGUGCAGCAUACAAGAGAUGUAAUAUCAUACAUGUGCUGAAUGUAGGACUCCCUAGCCUUUCUGAUUGAAAAAAAGAUUCCCUGGCAGACAGGAACAACUAUUAGUGAUGACUUUUUUCAAAUGUUACUGCACAGUCAUGUAGUGGACCGAUUACAUGUACUACUAUCAAUGUGAUACUAAAAAAUGGUUUUGUAAGAGAGAAAAUGACAUGUGCUUAUCCUGACUGUGAAAACACCACAUUAUUGUAGUUCAAAUAUCAUAGUUCAUAUGCCAAACUUGAUGUACAUGUGUAUGCGAUUUUUGUGCAAGUGAUGGUGACAUCAUUGAACUAAGAAUAAAUACAAGACUCCGCAUUCAAUCUAUUGAAUUUGAAACAGAAGUGGCAGUUGUGCAGAGACUAUACAGAUAAAAAUGCAAAUAAAUAUCUUGUGUUCAACUUCA